AUUGAACGCUGGCGGCAUGCCUUACACAUGCAAGUCGAACGGCAGCACGGGAGCAAUCCUGGUGGCGAGUGGCGAACGGGUGAGUAAUAUAUCGGAACGUGCCCAGUCGUGGGGAUAACGUAGCGAAAGCUACGCUAAUACCGCAUACGAUCUAUGGAUGAAAGCGGGGGGUCGCAAGAGCCUCGCGCGAUUGGAGCGGCCGAUAUCAGAUUAGGUAGUUGGUGGGGUAAAGGCUCACCAAGCCAACGAUCUGUAGCUGGUCUGAGAGGACGACCAGCCACACUGGAACUGAGACACGGUCCAGACUCCUACGGGAGGCAGCAGUGGGGAAUUUUGGACAAUGGACGCAAGU
rnacentral:rRNA from 1 species